AGUUCAGUGCUUCCUCUGAGAGAGGAAAUUCUUACCAAUGUACGUGGGAUGGCUCCUCCAAAGUGAAUUACAAAGAUUAAUGGCUUUAGGAGCACUUGUCCAUCCCGGUCCCAGACUCCAACCCCAUGGUGAGAAAUAGGAUGUACGCAUGAGAAACAUCUUCCCUAAGUUCACUUGUCCUCUUGGGCCAAGGAUACUGAUGUUCCACAUGUCUAUGGAGCUUGUCUUUUACCCUCAGAGCCAGAGACCAUUUUUAAGGAUGACGCAUAUUUGGCUAUAUAGGUCAAGAAUUCAGCACUAUAGGAAUCCCAGCUACUCUGGAGGCCGAGGCAGGAGAAUCGCUUGAACCCGGGAGGUGGAGGUUGCAAUGAGCUGAGAUCGCACCACUGCACUGCAGCCUGAGAGACACAGCAAGACUCCAUCUCAAAAAAUAAAUAGAUAAAUUAAACAAAGCUACCAACUUUUGGAAAGG